rnacentral:rRNA from 1 species
UAGAGGAAGUAAAAGUCGUAACAAGGUUUCCGUAGGUGAACCUGCGGAAGGAUCAUUAUUGAAAUAAACCUGAUAAGUUGUUGCUGGUUCUUCAGGGAGCAUGUGCACACUUGUCAUCUUUGUAUCUCCACCUGUGCACCUUUUGUAGACCUUGGGAAUCUCUCUGAUUGCUUUAGCAACUCAGGAUUGAGGAUUGACUUUCUGUCUUUUCUUAAAUUUCCAGGCCUAUGUUUUUUAAACACCCUAAUGUAUGUUUAUAGAAUGUAAUCAAAUGGGCCUUUGUGCCUAUAAAUUGAUAUACAACUUUCAGCAACGGAUCUCUUGGCUCUCGCAUCGAUGAAGAACGCAGCGAAAUGCGAUAAGUAAUGUGAAUUGCAGAAUUCAGUGAAUCAUCGAAUCUUUGAACGCACCUUGCGCUCCUUGGUAUUCCGAGGAGCAUGCCUGUUUGAGUGUCAUUAAUAUAUAUCAACCUUUUUUGGUUGGAUGUGGGUUUGCUGGCCGCUUUUUGAGGUCAGCUCCCCUUAAAUGCAUUAGCGGACAAUAUUUUGCCAAACGUUUCAUUGGUGUGAUAAUUAUCUACGCUGUUGACGUGAAGCAAAGGUUCAGCUUCUAACAGUCCAUUGACUUGGACAAUUUUUUAUUAUUAAUGUGACCUCAAAUCAGGUAGGACUACCCGCUGAACUUAAGCAUAUCA